rnacentral:rRNA from 1 species
CCUACGGGGGGCUGCAGUGAGGAAUAUUGGUCAAUGGGCGAGAGCCUGAACCAGCCAAGUCGCGUGAGGGAAGACGGUCCUAUGGAUUGUAAACCUCUUUUGCCGGGGAGCAAAAAGCGGUACGUGUACCGCAUCAAGAGUACCCGGAGAAAAAGCAUCGGCUAACUCCGUGCCAGCAGCCGCGGUAAUACGGAGGAUGCGAGCGUUAUCCGGAUUUAUUGGGUUUAAAGGGUGCGCAGGCGGCGAGUUAAGUCAGCGGUAAAAUUUCGGGGCUCAACCCCGACAAGCCGUUGAAACUGGCGUGCUAGAGUGGGCGAGAAGUAUGCGGAAUGCGUGGUGUAGCGGUGAAAUGCAUAGAUAUCACGCAGAACUCCGAUUGCGAAGGCAGCAUACCGGCGCCCAACUGACGCUCAGGCACGAAAGCGUGGGUAUCGAACAGGAUUAGAUACCCGAGUAGUC